CUUGUGACGGCGUACCUUUUGUAUAAUGGGUCAUCGACUUGGUCUAUCCAGCAAGCUUAAGCCGUUAGGUGUAGGCGCAGCGAAAGCGAGUCUUAAUAGGGCGAAUGAGUUGGAUGGAUCAGACCCGAAACCGAGUGAUCUAGGCAUGACCAGGAUGAAGGUACGGUAACACGUACUGGAGGUCCGAACCCACACCUGUUGAAAAAGGUCGGGAUGAGUUGUGCCUAGGGGUGAAAGGCCAAUCAAACUCGGAGAUAGCUGGUUCUCCGCGAAAUCUAUUUAGGUAGAGCGUCAUCCGAAUACCCCGGGGGGUAGAGCACUGGAUGGGUAAUGGGGCCCCACAGGCUUACUGAUCCUAACCAAACUCCGAAUACCCGGGAGUACUAGAUGGCAGACACACGGCGGAUGCUAACGUCCGUCGUGGAGAGGGAAACAACCCUGACCUCCAGCUAAGGCCCCCAAUUCAUGGCUAAGUGGGAAAGCAGGUGGGACGACCAAAACAACCAGGAGGUUGGCUUAGAAGCAGCCAUCCUUUAAAGAUAGCGUAACAGCUCACUGGUCUAAACAAGUUGUCCUGCGGCGAAGAUGUAACGGGGCUCAAGCCAUGAGCCGAAGCUGAGGACGCGAGAGCGUGGUAGCGGAGCGUGGUGUGAUAUAGUCUCAUGUCUCCUUCAUGCCUUCGGGCAUAUUGGAGACGCGAGGCUUGCUGAGAAGCCGGACCGUAAGGUUGACCGGUGGAGCGAUCACCAGCGAGAAUGAUGACAUGAGUAGCGACAAGGAGUGUGAGAGACACUCCCGCCGAAAGUCCAAGGGUUCCUGCUUAAAGCUAAUCUGAGCAGGGUAAGCCGGCCCCUAAGGCGAGGCCGAAAGGCGUAGUCGAUGGGAACCAGGUUAAUAUUCCUGGGCCAGGAGAUGGUGACGGAUUGACCGAACCGCAUGUCCCUUAUCGGAUUGGGGCAUGUACGCGGCAGUCCCUGGAAAUAGCCCUCCUUCGGACCGUACCCGAAACCGACACAGGUGGACUGGUAGAGAAUACCAAGGCGCUUGAGAGAACGACGUUGAAGGAACUCGGCAAAAUACCUCCGUAAGUUCGCGAGAAGGAGGCCCGCCCUAUGAUGGGCGGGGGCACAAACCAGGGGGUGGCGACUGUUUACUAAAAACACAGGGCUCUGCGAAGCCGUAAGGCGACGUAUAGGGUCUGACGCCUGCCCGGUGCCUGAAGGUUAAAAGGAGGGGUGCAAGCUCCGAAUUGAAGCCCAGGUAAACGGCGGCCGUAACUAUAACGGUCCUAAGGUAGCGAAAUUCCUUGUCGGGUAAGUUCCGACCUGCACGAAUGGCGUAACGACUUCCCCGCUGUCUCCAACGUCGACUCAGCGAAAUUGAAUUGCCGGUCAAGAUGCCGGCUACCCGCGGUUAGACGGAAAGACCCCGUGCACCUUUACUACAGCUUCAGACUGGCACCAGGCCAGGCAUGUGCAGGAUAGGUGGUAGGCUUUGAAACCAUGACGCCAGUCGUGGUGGAGCCACCCUUGAGAUACCACCCUUGCCUCGCUUGGUGUCUAACCGCGAACCGUCAUCCGGUUCCGGGACCCUCUGUGGCGGGUAGUUUGACUGGGGCGGUCGCCUCCUAAAGCGUAACGGAGGCGCGCGAAGGUUGGCUCAGAGCGGUCGGAAAUCGCUCGUUGAGUGCAAUGGCAGAAGCCAGCCUGACUGCAAGACUGACAAGUCGAGCAGAGUCGAAAGACGGCCAUAGUGAUCCGGUGGUCCCAAGUGGGAGGGCCAUCGCUCAACGGAUAAAAGGUACGCCGGGGAUAACAGGCUGAUACUGCCCAAGAGUCCAUAUCGACGGCAGUGUUUGGCACCUCGAUGUCGGCUCAUCUCAUCCUGGGGCUGGAGCAGGUCCCAAGGGUACGGCUGUUCGCCGUUUAAAGAGGUACGUGAGCUGGGUUUAGAACGUCGUGAGACAGUUCGGUCCCUAUCUGCCGUGGGUGUAGGAGACUUGAGAGGAGUUGACCCUAGUACGAGAGGACCGGGUUGAACGAUCCACUGGUGGACCUGUUGUUGCGCCAGCAGCAGUGCAGGGUAGCUAUGAUCGGACAGGAUAACCGCUGAAGGCAUCUAAGCGGGAAGCCCCCCUCAAAACAAGGUCUCCCCGAGGGCCGUGGUAGACGACCACGUCGAUAGGCUGGAGGUGUAAGCGUGGCAACACGCUCAGCUGACCAGUACUAAUGGCCCGACAGGCUUGG
rnacentral:rRNA from 1 species